rnacentral:lncRNA from 1 species
ACGAGUCAUUUGAAUAAUGCCAUGUAACAGUGCUUUCGAAAUUCUCAUUGCUGCAUACACAAGUGACUUGUUUUCAGGUCACACUGUUUACGUAUUACAUCUAUGAUAUUGAUAUCUAAACGUUUACCACUAUAGUAGUGAAGUGAUUACUGUAAGUGUUUGAUAGUAGAACAGGUGCUUGCUAGGGUACAGGAUUUGUACAAGCUUUUUAUACACCCGUUUACAG